rnacentral:rRNA from 1 species
GGAAUUUUGGACAAUGGGCGCAAGCCUGAUCCAGCAAUGCCGCGUGAGUGAAGAAGGCCUUCGGGUUGUAAAGCUCUUUUGUCAGGGAAGAAACGGGCCUUUCUAAUACAGGGGCCUAAUGACGGUACCUGAAGAAUAAGCACCGGCUAACUACGUGCCAGCAGCCGCGGUAAUACGUAGGGUGCAAGCGUUAAUCGGAAUUACUGGGCGUAAAGCGUGCGCAGGCGGUUUUGUAAGACUGUCGUGAAAUCCCCGGGCUCAACCUGGGAAUGGCGAUGGUGACUGCAAGGCUAGAGUUUGGCAGAGGGGGGUAGAAUUCCACGUGUAGCAGUGAAAUGCGUAGAUAUGUGGAGGAACACCGAUGGCGAAGGCAGCCCCCUGGGUCAAAACUGACGCUCAUGCACGAAAGCGUGGGGAGCAAACAGGAUUAGAUACCCGAG